UAUUGAUUGCGAAUCGUUGUCUUCAGUGCUGGCCAGCUCUGGCAAGUGCACGUUGGCGGCUUUUCAUCCAUACCCCUGUGAACCUUUGGCCUCUUGCUAGCCUUGGCCGGCAGAGGAAUUUUACACCCACUCGAAUGUAAUGAAAUUAUUGUUGUGCGUAAGCACUAAUGUACAACUUUCAACAACGGAUCUCUUGGCUCUCGCAUCGAUGAAGAACGCAGCGAAAUGCGAUAAGUAAUGUGAAUUGCAGAAUUCAGUGAAUCAUCGAAUCUUUGAACGCACCUUGCACCCUUUGGCAUUCCGAAGGGUAUGCUCGUUUGAGUGUCAUUGUACUCUCACACUUCUGAUCUUUUGGAUUGGGAGCGGUGGACUUGGGUGUUGCUGCUUUGCGGUGGCUCGCCUCAAAUGCAUUAGUGCAACUCUUGGUUAGACAUAGUACGGCGUGAUAAGUAUCUUCGCCGGCACCUCGCAAGAGGGUGGCUGAUCAGGAGCUCUGUGCUUCCAACAGUCUGUAUUCAGACAACAACUGACAACUUGACCUCAAAUCGAGUAGGACCACCC
rnacentral:rRNA from 1 species